GACGAACGCUGGCGGCGUGCCUAAUACAUGCAAGUCGAGCGGAGUUUUUAAAAGCUUGCUUUUAAAAACUCAGCGGCGGACGGGUGAGUAACACGUGGGCAACCUGCCCUGUAGACUGGGAUAACUUCGGGAAACCGAAGCUAAUACCGGAUAAUCAUAGAAGUUGCAUAGCUUCUAUGUAAAAGUUGGGUUUACCUAACACUACAGGAUGGGCCCGCGUCGCAUUAGCUAGUUGGUAAGGUAACGGCUUACCAAGGCGACGAUGCGUAGCCGACCUGAGAGGGUGAUCGGCCACACUGGGACUGAGACACGGCCCAGACUCCUACGGGAGGCAGCAGUAGGGAAUCUUCCGCAAUGGACGAAAGUCUGACGGAGCAACGCCGCGUGAGCGAUGAAGGCCUUCGGGUCG
rnacentral:rRNA from 1 species